AUGAUCAAAGGACAAGACGUGCAUGCAUCAGACAACAGAACAAAGAAAGUUUGUAUUUUGUUCCUUCUUUUUCUUGUUGGGCUCAGCUUUAUUUCCACUUUCUUCCUUGUUUUUGUUUUGUUUUAUGCUCUGGUUUUGUGUUCUUGCUUAGUACUAAGCUCUCAGAAAAACUGGGUUAUCAGAAAAAUGAUUUAGAUUUUGGAAGCAAACAAGGGCCAGCCCAAAUUACAAAAUAAAAAACAACGGCUGGUCAUGAAUAAAAACCCAGAAUGAAAACAAACAAAAAAAUGGUCAUGAAAGAUGAUCAAUUGAUCAUCGUUUUGUGUGUGCCCUGUCUCUGACUCUUUAUCUCUAUUUUCUUGAUGGGGUUUCUAUCUCUUCUACUCUGUUUCCUUCUCUCUUUAUUUGCCCACUAAAUCAGUUUCUCUCCCAGGUCUCAUGUUUGUACAAAUCACAUGUCUCCCAUCCCAUACAUCAGAAAGCUCUUUUGCACUGAAUAGAUUGAAAAGAGAUGUUAUAAUCAUGCAACCAAGCCAACAGAACUGGAUGAAUACAAAACAACAAAUAAAUGGCAAAAGAAUACAAAAGGCACCGAUUGAAGUGCCGUCAGUUUCCUCUCAUGUCAAAAAGUCGGAAGCUUCACAACGUAAUCAAAGACAAAGAGACGAACACAGCUCCACCAACAAAUUGAAGACCAGGAUCAGAACGACGACGAGAUAG
rnacentral:lncRNA from 1 species